UCGAGUUGGACCGGGAAGGGGUUUCCUCGCACUCCCCUUCCUAGUUUUCCUUAUUUCACCUGUGCACCCUUUGUAGGCCCUCUCUCGAAAAGAGGAUCUACGUUAUUUCUACAAAUCUACUCCAUGCAUGUCCAGAACGUAAUACAAACAUUUUUACAACUUUCAGCAACGGAUCUCUUGGCUCUCGCAUCGAUGAAGAACGCAGCGAAUUGCGAUAAGUAAUGUGAAUUGCAGAUUUUCAGUGAAUCAUCGAAUCUUUGAACGCACCUUGCGCUCCUUGGUAUUCCGAGGAGCAUGCCUGUUUGAGUGUCAUGGAAUUCUCAACCAUGUCUCGGUCUGAUCUCGAGGCAUGGCUUGGACUUGGGAGUCGCUGGCGAGCCUCGUCAGCUCUCCUCAAACACAUUAGCGACGUUCAGCAAGCCUGACGUGCACGGCCUUUUUUUUUUGGAGGGAAUACCAUUGGUGGUGGGCGGAACGGGUAGGGCAACCGGGGAAUCGCUUCCAAUCCUUAAGACUUUGGGUUCCUUCAUCGAGAAAUAGACUCGAGCACUAAGCCUCAGUUACUAGUCAACAGACGAACGCGAGGUUCCAAGUUCGAAAUGGAAAUUUCACUUUGAAAGGAUCAAUCAUGGUCUUUUCGAUCUCGAUCUUGACGGGGGGAAGUUUAACCUUUGACCUUCGAGAGACCCAAGCCUUAGUUACUAGUCGGUCGUGAGGCCGACGAACGCAAAGGCCUAGGUUUGAAACUUUGAAGCAAUCGCACUUCUCUUGGUCUCGAUCCUCGAUCC
rnacentral:rRNA from 1 species